rnacentral:lncRNA from 1 species
GUUUAUUUGAUCAUGUUUUUAUAACCUCACAGGUUCUCUCUAAACUUUUAUUGUUGUGCAAAUUCGGAAUUUACUGCUGCAUCAACAGAAAGCAAGCUAGUCCACUGUCAUCAUAUAAUAGGUUAUGAUAACUAAGUUUUAAAAUUCUACUCAGUGGAAUAGUUGAUUAAUCAUAAAGGCUACAUUUCCUAAAACCAAUCAAACAG